GCCACCAUGGCAUAGUGGUUUGAGUGCUGGACUAUGACUUUGGAGACCAGGAUUCGAUUCCCAGCUGAACCA